AUGAGGUUGAAAUUUUAUGGUUCAGAAAACUGAAUGGAUUUCCAUCAAUUCGCCUUUCUGGAUUUGGCAUCUACUUAGCUAAAUCUAAUUAAAUAUGAGAAGUGUACAUGGCGAGCUAAAUUUCUCUACUCAGUAAUGCCGAGGGAAACCUUGAAUUUGCCAACCAGAUGUGGUAAUGUCUUUAUGCUAUCUUGAAUUGACUGGUCUACGCAUGAUUCCAUA
rnacentral:misc_RNA from 1 species